rnacentral:rRNA from 1 species
AUUGAACGCUGGCGGCAGGCCUAACACAUGCAAGUCGAGCGAGCGGCGGACGGGUGAGUAAUGUAUGUGGAACUGCCCGUUAGAGGGGGAUAACAACUGGAAACGGUAUCUAAUAUCGCAUACUAUCAGAUGUGCCCACAUGGGAUAAGAUAGUAGGUGGGGUAAGGGCUCACCUAGGCGACGAUCCCUAGCUGGUCUGAGAGGAUGAUCAGCCACACUGGAACUGAGACACGGUCCAGACUCCUACGGGAGGCAGCAGUGGGGAAUAUUGCACAAUGGGCGCAAGCCUGAUGCAGCCAUGCCGCGUGUAUGAAGAAGGCCUUCGGGUUGUAAAGUACUUUCAGUGGGGAGGCGUUACCCGCAGAAGAAGCACCGGCUAACUCCGUGCCAGCAGCCGCGGUAAUAC